UACGUAGGGGGCAAGCGUUGUCCGGAAUCAUUGGGCGUAAAGCGCGUGUAGGCGGUUCGGUAAGUCGGCUGUGAAAGUCCAGGGCUCAACCCUGGGAUGCCGGUCGAUACUGCCGGACUAGAGUUCGGAAGAGGCGAGUGGAAUUCCCGGUGUAGCGGUGAAAUGCGCAGAUAUCGGGAGGAACACCAAUGGCGAAGGCAGCUCGCUGGGACGUUACUGACGCUGAGACGCGAAAGCAUGGGGAGCAAACAGG
rnacentral:rRNA from 1 species